GAAACACGGACCAAGGAGUGUAGCAUGCGCGCGAGUGUUCGGGGUGGGAGCCCCCGGAGCGUAAUGAAGGUGAAGGCGGUCUCUACGAUCGCCGAGGCGCGGGCCCGUCUCUGGCGGGCGCAGCGUCGACCGAUUCCGACCCACGCCGUGGCGGGAUUCGAGUUGGAGCGUGCAUGUUGCGACCCGAAAGAUGGUGAACUAUGCCCGAGUAGGGCGAAGCCAGAGGAAACUCUGGUGGAGGCUCGCAGCGGUUCUGACGUGCAAAUCGAUCGUCAAACUUGGGUAUAGGGGCGAAAGACCAAUCGAACCGUCUAGUAGCUGGUUCCCUCCGAAGUUUCCCCCAGGAUAGCUGGAGCCCGGUGCAGUUUUAUCAGGUCAAGCGAAUGAUUAGAGGUCUUGGGGUUGAAACAACCUCAACCUAUUCUCAAACUUUAAAUGGGUAAGACGGUCGGCUUGCUCGAUUGAAGUCGGCCAGGCGAAUGCCGGGGCUCCUAGUGGGCCAUUUUUGGUAAGCAGAACUGGCGAUGCGGGAUGAACCGAACGCCGGGUUAAGGUGCCGGAGUCGACGCUCAUCAGAUCCCAGAAAAGGUGUUGGUUGAUCUAGACAGCAGGACGGUGGCCAUGGAAGUCGGAAUCCGCUAAGGAGUGUGUAACAACUCACCUGCC
rnacentral:rRNA from 1 species